CAGCAGAUGUAGUCAUGAAGGAAACUGGUUGGAACUAAGCACCCAGAAGGGAUGGAAAUUUUAAUGCUUUAUAUAGCAAGCCUGGCUGCACAAAAGAAUAAUCUGGAAAGCUUUUUAAAAAUGCUGACUCCUGUACCCCACCUCAGCCACUGUGGAAGCUGAAAAUAGAAAAGUCAGAAUAAAAUGAUGGGGCAGGUCACAGACAACACAGGAGCCAGUUUGACCAAAUCAGGGUCUCUGAGGGUGGAGCCUAGGCACUGUUAGAUGUGCAAACUCUCAAGAGUGGAGAAGCAAGAGGAGUGGUUUCCUUUCAUCCACUAACAGUAAUUAAAACAAUGCAACAAUACCAGAAUCACUUAGAGUUGGUGCUCCAUUUCUACAUCUUAAAAGUCAGAGAGGUAAGAAAGGACCACAUG